rnacentral:misc_RNA from 1 species
GUGAAUCAUCGAAUUUUUGAACGCACAUUGCACUCUCUUCGAAGAGUAUGACUGUUUGAGGGUCAGACUAAAAAAAUCGACAUAGUUGCUGUUUCGCGGUGACAUUCGUCGGUCAUUGGGUGAUCUUAAACCUUUGGGUUUUAAGCGGCUUAAAAUUUUCUUUACGAUUCCACGAACGUUUCUAAGAUUUACUUCUUACGUUUAAGGUAUCGAUCUUUAUUAGAUGUGGCCGUUGUAUCGGAUCGUGGCCAUAAAUAUGUUGUUUACUGAGCUC